UCUGAGCUAUUGCGGAUGGCGAAAGGGUGGGGGAGGGGAGACGUGUGUGGAAAGGUGGAACGCGGCCCUGCGGAGCUGAGCAAGCGCACAAAGGCGCGUGUGUAAGAAAUACGGUUGAGGUGUAAGGCGCCGGAAAACAACAUGAGCGCGCGAGCGCCAGGAAGCGAGCUGGAAGGGGAAGGAAGAUUGGCGCACGCGCGCGCUCCCUUAGUGGGGUGCGGAAUGGAGCGCAUGCGCGGGCUGUAUUUAUUUGGUGGGAGUUCUCUUGGAGCCUUCAUCUUCUAAGGCCAGUUCACCAAGAGUUCUCCCGGAGACACUCUGGGCCACCUACAAGAGGAAAAAAAAUGGACUUGAGAUUGACAAGCUGUGAAAGGGGGAAACGUUAAUUGUUAAACUUGGAUAAGAUCAUGGUUUUGUUGUACUGCUAAGUUCUAUGUUUAUGUAUGUUAAGUAAAAAGAAGAAAAUUUGUCCUAAA